rnacentral:piRNA from 1 species
UAUCAACUGAGCAAUGCAGAUGUGGAUGCU